GGGGCAGCAUGCGUGGUAGCUUGCUACCAGGUGAUGGCCGACCGGCGCACGGGUGAGUAACGCGUAUCCAACCUUCCCCAUGACCAGGGAAUAACCUUGCGAAAGUAAGACUAAUGCCCUAUGGUUUCCUCAGCGGACAUCCAAAGAGGAAUAAAGAUUCAUCGGUGAUGGAUGGGGAUGCGUCUGAUUAGGUUGUUGGCGGGGUAACGGCCCACCAAGCCAUCGAUCAGUAGGGGUUCUGAGAGGAAGGUCCCCCACAUUGGAACUGAGACACGGUCCAAACUCCUACGGGAGGCAGCAGUGAGGAAUAUUGGUCAAUGGGCGAGAGCCUGAACCAGCCAAGUAGCGUGCAGGACGACGGCCCUAUGGGUUGUAAACUGCUUUUAUACGGGAAUAAAGUGGGCCACGCGUGGUCUUUUGCAUGUACCGUAUGAAUAAGGACCGGCUAAUUCCGUG
rnacentral:rRNA from 1 species